AGAAUCAACGCUGGCGGCGUGCCUAACACAUGCAAGUCGAACGAGAAAGUGGAGCAAUCCAUGAGUAAAGUGGCGACCGGGUGAGUAACACGUGACUAACCUACCUUCGAGUGGGGGAUAACCUCGGGAAACCGGGGCUAAUACCGCAUAACACCUACGGGUCAAAGGAGCAAUUCGCUUAAGGAGGGGGUCGCGGCAGAUUAGUUAGUUGGCGGGGUAAUGGCCCACCAAGACGGUGAUCUGUAUCC
rnacentral:rRNA from 1 species